ensembl:lncRNA prothymosin alpha-B-like
CCCAAGAGCGUCAAGUGCGCACAUAGAGAUGAGAGUGAACAUGGGCGUCAUGGAGGGAGGGGCGAGGAGACAUGGCGGCGGUGCUCCACAUUUACAUUCUUUACGCCUUUGAUCUGAUUGAUGGUGUUCCAAAGGCGACAGUAACGUUUUUAAAAGCGUGAAUCCACCAACACUGUCCGUGUCCUCCACAUUCCCCCCUGAAAGAAGACUUUGCCUCCAUGUUCGCCUCGGGGUGGGGGGAGAAGCGGUCCGUAGUCGCCGCUCGACUCGACCAGAUGAACAUCAAUCAAUCAAAUCGUGACACAACGUCAACCGACGCGCUGCCUGUUCGAUAUGUUUAGUGCGUAAUUCGGUUUAAAACUCGAACGCAGCGGAGAAAAGAAGUAACGUGAAAGAUUUGCUCCGUUUUGUCCGUUUCAUCGCUGUGGUUAUUGUUUCUAGUGGGGAAAGGACGGCUGCAGCGGCGGACAGGAGGGGGGCGCAGCGGCGGACAGGAGGGGGGCGUGGCCUCCGGGUUUAGAAAUUCUAUCCAUUGUUCCACUCCAACGCGCGAAGAGAACACCUCUGUGGCGCCAACAGCCAAUCAGCUGCCGCCGACCUCCUCUGGGCGCCGCCCACCAGCCUAUAUUAAAGGCUCGGCCGUCAGCAGCAUUGGCCACUGGCACAAUAUAACACUGAUUGAUCCACUAACCGAGGAGAGGGAUUUACUUUAUUCAACCUUUCAUUUCAGCCGUCCUUUAUUUUAUUCAACUAAAACAAUGGCAGACACAAAAGUUGACUCCGGCUCGGAUAUCUCUGCCAAGGACCUGAAGGAGAAGAAGCUGCUGGAGGAGAAGGAGAACGGCAAAGAUGCCGCCACCAACGGAAAGGAGAAUGAGGAGAACGGCGAGCCUGAGGUAGAUGAUGAAGAUGAUGAUGAGGUUGACGAGGAGGACGAGGAAGACGAUGUAGAAGGUGACGAGGAAGACGAGGAGGACGAUGAUGAUGAAAUUGAGGGCGGCACAAAACGGGCAGCUGAGGAUGACGACGACGACGACGAGGACGACGUCGAAACCAAGAAGCAGAAAACCGACGACGACGAUUGAUGCGUUUCCCCCCCACGCCACUUCCUGGUUCUUCACCUCUGACUGUUUUUAUAUGUCACCGGUGGGGGGGCGGGAGGACUGAUUUUAAAAGGAGAAAAAAUAAUAAUAAAGAAAAAAAAUCCAACAUGGUCAUUAGCAAGUAGAGUUCAACAAACAUCUACCACACACACACACACACACACACACACACACACACACUCACACACACUCACUCUCACACACACUCAAUCUCCCCGCAAAACUGCAAAUUUUCUAGAGGAACCCCCCACCCCCACCACAUCGAUGCAGAAAUCCGGCUCAACAACAACAACAACACGAAAGGAGAAUUUGUUUGUAUUUUUAUUUACAUUUUAUAUUUUUGUACAUAUUGUUCGGAGGGGGGGCAGUUUCUCUCAGCAGCGAUCUCGUCAGACCAAAUCGGUGCUUCUUUAACGAAAGAUUUUACUUGGUUGACCAUGUUACGAUAUCUCAACAGAUACUAGAAAAACCAGUUACAACCAUGACAGACGACCUUAAAGCCGUUGAACUCAGAGCAUUCCAGUAAAUUUAAUGUAUGUACUUUAGCUGUACCAUAACUAGUUUGUUUGUAUGGGGGGGGUAAGGCCGAAGGAAAGAGCCUCUUUUCUUUUCUUUUGUUUUAUGACGGCCUGUUUUGAUGUAUGUGCGAAGUUUGUUGUUUGACAAUAAACCGGACUUUUAUUUUGUGAGUUGUACUUUGUAUCUCUGCUUGUUUUUUCCUCAGUGACGAAGACGUUCGGGUGAAGGUGAACCAGUCCUGCGCUCAAAUACUCCUGACGUACAUGUAUUUGUGUAUUUCCAUUUCAUUGGUAACUUAUACUUUAACUCCACCAGAUUUCAGGGCUUGUAUUGCACAUGUUUUAUUCACGGCUCAAUCGAGAGAAGAAGAACUUCUUUCUUGUAAAUGUCCAGAAGGUUUAUCUUCUGCAGGACUUCAGGAGUCUUUAGGAAACAUUACUUUGUUGCUAUAAAGGUCAGAAAAAUAUUACAAUUUUGCAGAUAUUCACAUCUGAUAAUAAUUAAUAUAAUAAAACCCUGCUGCAGAAUGUUUAGAUGUUAUAAGUACAUGUUGCUGAUCAUACUUUAAUAUCAUUCUCUACUUUAGGACUCGUUCUACAUUAUAGUUUAUUCAUUUUACAGAAACUCUUCAGAUAAAGAUUCAAU